rnacentral:rRNA from 1 species
CCUACGGGUGGCAGCAGUGAGGAAUAUUGGUCAAUGGGCGUAAGCCUGAACCAGCCAAGUCGCGUGAGGGAUGAAGGCUCUAUGGAUCGUAAACCUCUUUUAUACGGGAAUAAAGUGCGGGACGUGUCCCUUUUUGUAUGUACCUUAUGAAUAAGGAUCGGCUAACUCCGUGCCAGCAGCCGCGGUAAUACGGAGGAUCCGAGCGUUAUCCGGAUUUAUUGGGUUUAAAGGGUGCGUAGGCGGAUUUUUAAGUCAGUGGUGAAAGUCUGGGGCUCAACCGUAGAAUUGCCGUUGAAACUGGGAGUCUUGAGUACGGUAGAGGCAGGCGGAAUGCGUGGUGUAGCGGUGAAAUGCUUAGAUAUCACGAAGAACUCCGAUUGCGAAGGCAGCCUGCCAGGC